rnacentral:tRNA from 1 species
AGAGUGUUAAGUUAAAUAAAAGACUAUGAUAUUUCAAGUAUCAAAGUGGGGUACCACACUUUA